rnacentral:pre_miRNA from 1 species
UGAUGAUGAUGAUGAUGAUGAUGAUGAUGAUGGUGAUGAUGACAAAUGAUGAAUCUAGUGAUGAUGGUGAGGCCACGUUUCCCACUUUGUUGAACUUGUGAUCAUCAUUAUCAUCAUUAUCAUCAUCAUCAUCAUCAUCAUCAUUA